rnacentral:tRNA from 1 species
GCCGGCGUAGCUCAGGGGUAGAGCAACUGAUUCGUAAUCAGUAGGCCAGAGGUUCAAUUCCUCUCGCCGGCACCA